rnacentral:tRNA from 1 species
CCGCCCGUAGCUCAGAUGGUAGAGCAGCUCCCUUUUAAGGAGAUGGUCGCAGGUUCGAUUCCUGCCGGGCGGA